rnacentral:tRNA from 10 species
UUUUGCUUAGUUCAAAGAUUAGAGCAUC